rnacentral:lncRNA from 1 species
ACUCGCCUCCUCCCACGAAUACAACCAGGUUACAACAAUUUUAGGAGGAAUCACCCUGGAUUGAAAACUGAAAACUGGAUAAAAAGAACCCCCACAACAAGGGACAGUCCUGACGAAAGCAGGAGAGGCAGUACCUCCGGCCGGAGAGGAAAAAAGCCACCUUUGGGAGCAGGGAGCUUCUCAGCUGGCCAGAGCCAGCAUGAAAUAUUAAGUCAACGAAAGGGAAAAGGACAAGGAGGUGAAGGACAAAGAGGAGGAGGAAGCGAUGGAGGACGAGAUAGUUGCCAACGCUGGAGGCUGCGUAAGGCAGAUAGGACAAAGCUUGUGACACUGAGAAAUCUCCCUCUCAUAAAUCCUCUCAAGUGUCCAGCAUUUUCAUUCUCUCUUCUCUUUAAGCCCCUGUCUUUUCUAACAUGCCCAGGUAUCCCUCAUCUUGAUUAAAAAUUUAAAAAUUCCUUCACCUUGUUGACUCCUCCAGUGCCCAUCCUUUUCUUGUUUUUUCUUUCCUUUUUUUAGUGGCCCAAGAUCUCAAAUGAAUAUUCUUUUUAUUCUAUGUCUAUUUCCUCUCUACCCAGUUCUCCUUAACACACCAUAAUCUCAUUUCCAAAACAGCAUCUAGGCUGAAAUUUCUCUCAAAAGUCAGCACGAGUAGCAAAACAACCUCCUUUCCCCUGCCACCCCCUCCAAACCUGGGGCAAACAUGCGGGAGCAACUGCCAGGGACGCAGACCUCUGUCUCCCAACGCUGUGCUGAGUUCUGCGGGUUAUUCUGUUGAGACCCAGCCUCUGAGUAGGGAAGAAGCAGGUCUCCAUCUCUAGACCGGAAACCAGAACUCGAAAAAGGCACGGCAGCGAAGGGGGCGUGUGCAGGAGAAACUCCUGCCUCCACUCAGGCCUUCUGCUUCACCCUAUAGGACUCGGAUAUGUAACCUGCUGAUCUGUGCCCCGGAACAAUAUGGCUGGCUAUGAGUUCAAAAAGGAGAAAAAAAUCUUCCCAGCUCUGUUGUCCUCCACCACCAUCAUUGCAGGAUGAGAUGUGAUUUCAUCAAAGGAAUCAAAACAGCAUUUCCUUACAAAAUGACGUCUUUGUUACCAAAUUCGACAGACUGUUCUCAUUCUCUCCCCCUACUUGUAUUACUGUGAGGCAAUCAGAAUUUCCUGGAGGAGAGCCCCAGAUCCUGCACAGGUGAGAAGCUCACUCCUCUUGCCCUCUGAUGGAAGGAAGAAUAAAGGAAAAACCUAGUAUAAAGAAACCCCUCUU